rnacentral:lncRNA from 1 species
UCCCGGUGAAUGACCCCAAAAGUAAUCUGGGGCCAGGGUGUCUGCCAGCCUCCCUCAAAAGUGUCUCAGAGCCUGAGCAGCACCCCCAGUUUCAUUUUUUUAACAACCUUAGGAACUGGGUGUCCAUAAAUGCAUCAUUAAUUUGGGGGAAAAAAAUUUUUGGCCUUCACUUACAUCAUCUCUUGUGGGAAGAAUUCCUCUAUUUUUAUCCUGGGUGCAAACUUUCCUGCCCUCUGUGAGAUGUCCUUGUUGCCCUUAAGCUCCUUUAUACUCUUCUCUUCAUACCCCCUUACACACACACAUCUGGGUGUGGAAGAGGUGAGUGCUGGAGAAGGAGCUAGUGCAAAUACCAAAGACGGGGAGGCAACUGCAGUACCCUCACACCAACGCAGUGGGAAGCCGGCACUGUGGGGAGGGGCGUGCCAGCAGGUCCUGGCUGCCUGCCUGGUUCAAGUCCUGGGCCUCCUGUUCCCUGGCUGUGUGAGCUGGAGGCAGUGCCUCGCUGGGAAGCCCCGUGCAAGCAUGGAUGAUUGUCCUUAUUAUAGAAGGCAGAAAGGUCCUUGGAACCUCUACCCUGCAUGCAACAAGGAGGCCUUGGUCCUUUCAUCAGCUUGGGCAUGUCUAUACUGGUGCCCAUCACUGGCCAUUUAA